AGGACGAACGCUGGCGGCGUGCUUAACACAUGCAAGUCGAACGGAAAGGCCCUGCUUUUGUGGGGUGCUCGAGUGGCGAACGGGUGAGUAACACGUGAGUAACCUGCCCUUGACUUUGGGAUAACUUCAGGAAACUGGGGCUAAUACCGGAUAGGAGCUCCUGCUGCAUGGUGGGGGUUGGAAAGUUUCGGCGGUUGGGGAUGGACUCGCGGCUUAUCAGCUUGUUGGUGGGGUAGUGGCUUACCAAGGCUUUGACGGGUAGCCGGCCUGAGAGGGUGACCGGCCACAUUGGGACUGAGAUACGGCCCAGACUCCUACGGGAGGCAGCAGUGGGAAUAUUGCACAAGUGGGCGGAAGCCUGAUGCAGCAACGCGCGUGCGGAUGACGGCCUUGGUCGUAACCGCUUCGCCUGUGACGAGCGUGAGUGACGGUAAGUAGGUAAAAGAAGACGACCGGACCUAACGACGUAGCCAGCACGCCGACGUAAU
rnacentral:rRNA from 1 species